CCUACGGGGGGCAGCAGUGGGGAAUAUUGCACAAUGGGCGCAAGCCUGAUGCAGCCAUGCCGCGUGUGUGAAGAAGGCCUUCGGGUUGUAAAGCACUUUCAGCGGGGAGGAAGGCGUUAAGGUUAAUAACCUUGGCGAUUGACGUUACCCGCAGAAGAAGCACCGGCUAACUCCGUGCCAGCAGCCGCGGUAAUACGGAGGGUGCAAGCGUUAAUCGGAAUUACUGGGCGUAAAGCGCACGCAGGCGGUCUGUCAAGUCGGGUGUGAAAUCCCCGGGCUCAACCUGGGAACUGCAUUCGAAACUGGCAGGCUAGAGUCUUGUAGAGGGGGGUAGAAUUCCAGGUGUAGCGGUGAAAUGCGUAGAGAUCUGGAGGAAUACCGGUGGCGAAGGCGGCCCCCUGGUCAAAGACUGACGCUCAGGUGCGAAAGCGUGGGGAGCAAACAGGAUUAGAUACCCCAGUAGUC
rnacentral:rRNA from 1 species